rnacentral:RNase_P_RNA from 1 species
GGAGCGAACUGAGCGAUCGCGGUCGGCGUCAUGCCGAUCGAGGAAAGUCCGGGCUCCACAGGACGCAGUGGUGGGUAACGCCCACCAUCCGCGAGGAUCGGGACAGUGCCACAGAAAACAAACCGCCGUGACCUGGACGUGUCCGACGCAAGUCGGCCGACCGCGUUGCGGUAAGGGUGAAAAGGUGCGGUAAGAGCGCACCGCGAAGCGGGUGACCGCUUUGGCAGGGUAAACCCCACUGGGAGCAAGACCAAACAGGAAGGAGCCGGAGAUCUCUCCGGCGCGGAUCGGUCCGGUCCGCCACCACUUCCGGGUAGGUUGCUGGAGGCGGCAGGCAACUGCCGUCCUAGAGAAAUGGUCGCUCACGACAGAACCCGGCUUACAGGUUCGCUCCGACC